rnacentral:rRNA from 1 species
GAUGAACGCUAGCGGCAGGCCUAACACAUGCAAGUCGAGGGGGAGGUUACUUUCGGGUAACUGAGACCGGCGUACGGGUGCGUAACGCGUAUACAAUCUGCCUUUCACUGGGGGAUAGCCCGAAGAAAUUUGGAUUAAUACCCCAUAGUAUAGGAGCACGGCAUCGUGAUACUAUUAAAGCUUAGGUGGUGAAAGAUGAGUAUGCGUUCUAUUAGCUAGUUGGAGAGGUAACGGCUCCCCAAGGCGAUGAUAGAUAGGGGUUCUGAGAGGGAUGUCCCCCACACUGGUACUGAGAUACGGACCAGACUCCUACGGGAGGCAGCAGUGAGGAAUAUUGGACAAUGGUCGGAAGACUGAUCCAGCCAUGCCGCGUGCAGGAUGAAGGUCUUAUGGAUUGUAAACUGCUUUUGUAAGGGAAGAAUAAGGGCUACGCGU